AAUAUUGCACAAUGGGGGAAACCCUGAUGCAGCAACGCCGCGUGAGUGACGAAGGCCUUCGGGUUGUAAAGCUCUGUCUUCACUGACGAACAAAUGACGGUAAGUGAGGAGGAAGCCACGGCUAACUACGUGCCAGCAGCCGCGGUAAUACGUAGGCGGCAAGCGUUGUCCGGAAUUAUUGGGCGUAAAGGAUGCGUAGGCGGUCUUUUAAGUGGGAUGUGAAAUACCUGGGCUUAACUCAGGGAUUGCAUUCCAAACUGGGAGACUAGAGUGCAGGAGAGGAAAGCGGAAUUCCUAGUGUAGCGGUGAAAUGCGUAGAUAUUAGGAGGAACACCAGUGGCGAAGGCGGCUUUCUGGACUGUAACUGACACUGAGGCAUGAAAGCGUGGGUAGCAAACAGGA
rnacentral:rRNA from 1 species